rnacentral:rRNA from 1 species
GAUGAACGCUGGCGGCGUGCCUAAUACAUGCCAGUCGAGCGAACGGACGAGAAGCUUGCUUCUCUGAUGUUAGCGGCGGACGGGUGAGUAACACGUGGAUAACCUACCUAUAAGACUGGGAUAACUUCGGGAAACCGGAGCUAAUACCGGAUAAUAUUUUGAACCGCAUGGUUCAAAAGUGAAAGACGGUCUUGCUGUCACUUAUAGAUGGAUCCGCGCUGCAUUAGCUAGUUGGUAAGGUAACGGCUUACCAAGGCAACGAUGCAUAGCCGACCUGAGAGGGUGAUCGGCCACACUGGAACUGAGACACGGUCCGGACACCUACGGGAGGCAGCAGUAGGGAAUCUUCCGCGAUGGGCGAAAGCCUGACGGAGCAAAGCCGCGUGAGUGAUGAAGGUCUUAGGAUCGUAAAACUCUGUUAUUAGGGAAGAACAAAUGUGUAAGUAACUGUGCACAUCUUGACGGUACCUAAUCAGAAAGCCACGGCUAACUACGUG